CACCCCACUACCAGCACACAAAAUUUCCUUUUCCUUUUUCCUCUCGUUGCCUUGCCCCGGUGCCUCCCCACCGGCCACUCGUGACGGCGUCGCGGCAACGCCGUCAGGGCCAGGGACCGAAAAGGAAAGCCAAGGUGGAGAGACCGGCCACUCGUGACGGCGUCGCGGCAACGCCGUCAGGGCCAGGGACCGAAAAGGAAAGCCAAGGUGGAGAGGAAGAGGAGGAGGAGGGCGAGGGGGGAGCAGCGGCCAGCUACGGCCGAACCCUACACCGCAGCGACCUCACCGCGCUUGCCAUUUUUGGCCGGCUGAUCGGAGGAGGGAGAUUUUUCUGGUUUGGUUUGGUUCCCGAUCGGAUUUGUGGGUGGGAGGAGAGAAGAGGAGCGAAAAUGGUGCGGGGGAAGACGCAGAUGAAGCGGAUAGAGAACCCGACGAGCCGGCAGGUGACCUUCUCCAAGCGCCGCGGCGGCCUGCUCAAGAAGGCCUUCGAGCUCUCCGUCCUCUGCGACGCCGAGGUCGCCCUCGUCGUCUUCUCCCCCCGCGGCAGGCUCUACGAAUUCACCAGCUCCAGCAUGAAGAACACAAUUGAACGUUAUAAGACAGUCACAAAGGAUAAUAUGAGCAGACAGACGGUACAGCAAGAUAUGGAGAAAAUAAAAGCUGAUGCUGAGGGCUUGUCAAAGAAGCUUGAUGCUCUUGAAGCUUGCAAAAGCAAACUUUUGGGUCAAAAUUUGGAAGAAUGCUCUAUUGAAGAACUGCAAAGCUUAGAGGUCAAAAUUGAAAAAAGCCUUCUAGGCAUCAGGGCAAUGAAGACUCGGCGGUUUGAAGAGCAGCUCUCUACGUUGAGGCAGAAGGAGAUGACGUUGCGGCAGCACAAUGAAGAACUAUAUAGCCAGUGCCAGAAGGAACAGCACCUUGCGUCGGAGGCGGCGGCGCCCCCUGCUCCGGCGACCUUGGCGGCGCUCCCUGCUCCAGUGACCCUGGAGGAGCAGGGCCAGCAGAUGGUGGAUGUGGAGACGGAUCUAUUUCUUGGACUGCCCGGCACCGGCCGCUCCUGAGAUACAGGCAGG
rnacentral:rRNA from 1 species